CAGUCUCAGGGGUUGCUGGAUCUUGGUGGUUGGGGGUGAUAAUCACCUUUUGUCUAUUAUUUUAUUGGCAGCCUUGGUGGUUUUUAUAGCAAGUGCUUUCUUAGAAACUGCCUUGAUCACAUCUACAGCCACCGUCUGUCUCCCCAUGUACUCUGGG